GGGCGUUUAGUAUUUGGUCGUAGACCCGAAACCAGGUGAUCUACCCUUGGUCAGGUUGAAGUUCAGGUAACACUGAAUGGAGGACCGAACCGACUUACGUUGAAAAGUGAGCGGAUGAACUGAGGGUAGCGGAGAAAUUCCAAUCGAACCUGGAGAUAGCUGGUUCUCUCCGAAAUAGCUUUAGGGCUAGCCUCAAGUGAUGAUUAUUGGAGGUAGAGCACUGUUUGGACGAGGGGCCCCUCUCGGGUUACCGAAUUCAGACAAACUCCGAAUGCCAAUUAAUUUAACUUGGGAGUCAGAACAUGGGUGAUAAGGUCCGUGUUCGAAAGGGAAACAGCCCAGACCACCAGCUAAGGUCCCAAAAUAUAUGUUAAGUGGAAAAGGAUGUGGCGUUGCCCAGACAACUAGGAUGUUGGCUUAGAAGCAGCCAUCAUUUAAAGAGUGCGUAAUAGCUCACUAGUCGAGUGACACUGCGCCGAAAAUGUACCGGGGCUAAACAUAUUACCGAAGCUGUGGAUUGUCCUUUGGACAAUGGUAGGAGAGCGUUCUAAGGGCGUUGAAGCAUGAUCGUAAGGACAUGUGGAGCGCUUAGAAGUGAGAAUGCCGGUGUGAGUAGCGAAAGACGGGUGAGAAUCCCGUCCACCGAUUGACUAAGGUUUCCAGAGGAAGGCUCGUCCGCUCUGGGUUAGUCGGGUCCUAAGCUGAGGCCGACAGGCGUAGGCGAUGGAUAACAGGUUGAUAUUCCUGUACCACCUAUAAUCGUUUUA
rnacentral:rRNA from 1 species